rnacentral:rRNA from 1 species
AACGUGUCUGCAGUACGCAGGAAGACCCACUG